GACGAAGGUGGCAACCGUUGUUCGGAAUUACUGGGCAUAAAGCGCGCGUAGGCGGCGACAUCAGUCAGGUGUGAAAUCCCUCGGCCCAACCGAGGAACUGCGCUUGAUACUGUGUCGCUUGAGGACAGGAGGGGAGCGUGGAAUUCCUGGUGGAGCGGUGAAAUGCGUUGAUAUCAGGAGGAACACCGGCGGCGAAGGCG
rnacentral:rRNA from 1 species